GGCUUAGUUGUUAUUGUUGUUGUAUAAGGCGUACUCUCUCCCUUUUUGCAGCAUUCCUAUAUUUGGAACUUCAUUUGAAAGCUUUAUGAAUUGGCUUUUGGCAUGCAAAUCUAUCAACUGAAAAUUUGGCCUAGCUAAUUUUAUUUAAGAGUCCUUAUUGCCAAUCACAUCCAUGGUAUUCCUCUUUUUCAUGUUAUUAGAAACCUUUAGUAAGGAUUCCUCAUAGUAUAUUCACAAAUUCAAACAGUGCUGCCAUGUCUUAUCAAUGAUCACUGCCUAAUGUUUUUAAUAAUCUAAAUCAGGCUCUAUUUUUGAGAAUAUUUUUUCCUGAAAUGAUUCAGUGUUUUUUAUUAUUUAUGUAUGUAGGUUGUUUCUUCUGAGUU
rnacentral:misc_RNA from 1 species